rnacentral:rRNA from 1 species
GACGAACGCUGGCGGCGUGCUUAACACAUGCCAGUCGAACGAAGAGCGAUGGAAGCUUGCUUCUAUCAAUCUUAGUGGCGAACGGGUGAGUAACGCGUAAUCAACCUGCCCUUCAGAGGGGGACAACAGUUGGAAACGACUGCUAAUACCGCAUACGAUCUAAUCUCGGCAUCGAGGAUAGAUGAAAGGUGGCCUCUACAUGUAAGCUAUCACUGAAGGAGGGGAUUGCGUCUGAUUAGCUAGUUGGAGGGGUAACGGCCCACCAAGGCGAUGAUCAGUAGCCGGUCUGAGAGGAUGAACGGCCACAUUGGGACUGAGACACGGCCCAGACUCCUACGGGAGGCAGCAGUGGGGAAUCUUCCGCAAUGGACGAAAGUCUGACGGAGCAACGCCGCGUGAGCGAUGACGGCCUUCGGGUUGUAAAGCUCUGUUAAUCGGGACGAAAGGCCUUCCUGCGAAUAGUGAGAAGGAUUGACGGUACCGGAAUAGAAAGCCACGGCUAACUACGUG